rnacentral:lncRNA from 1 species
CCCAAGUAAGCAAACUUCCUUGAUUGUCUGGUAGUGUCCGAUCCGAGUUUCUUCUGCCAUAAAGAACUUCGAACAAAACGACCCCAAAUGAGUAUACGUCGGAUUUUUCGGUCAGUUCCCCAUGCAUGGUAUAUUCUGGAGCCAUAUAUCCAUAAGUUCCCACAAGCCUACAUGUAUACUUUCUUAUCAAGGCUUUUGACAUGCUAGGAGGACCCAGUUUGGACAAGCCAAAAUCUGAAAGUUUGCAACACCAUUCUUCAUCUAAAAGUAUGUUUGAGCUCUUGAUGUCAUGGUGGAUUACAGCAUGCUUGGCACCGGUGUGCAGGUAA